rnacentral:rRNA from 1 species
AUUGAACGCUGGCGGCAGGCUUAACACAUGCAAGUCGAGCGGGGGAAGGUAGCUUGCUACCGGACCUAGCGGCGGACGGGUGAGUAAUGCUUAGGAAUCUGCCUAUUAGUGGGGGACAACAUCUCGAAAGGGAUGCUAAUACCGCAUACGUCCUACGGGAGAAAGCAGGGGAUCUUCGGACCUUGCGCUAAUAGGUGAGCCUAAGUCGGAUUAGCUAGUUGGUGGGGUAAAGGCCUACCAAGGCGACGAUCUGUAGCGGGUCUGAGAGGAUGAUCAGCCACACUAGGACUGAGACACGGCCCAGGCUCCUACGGGAGGCAGCUGUGGGGAAUAUUGGAAAAUGGGGGGAACCCUGAUCCAGCCAUGCCGAGUGUGUGAAGAAGGCCUUAUGGUUGUAAAGCACUUUAAGCGAGGAGGAGGCUACUUUAGUUAAUACCUAGAGAUAGUGGACGUUACUCGCAGAAUAAGCACCGGCUAACUCUGUGCCAGCAGCCGCGGUAA